ACAUUACUGUCAUCAGUGGAUUAAUAGAGCUGCUACCUAGACUGACAAGACGCAGUAAAAACGCCUGGCAAAUUGGAGCUGGGGUGAUAUGGAAUCCUACAAAGAAGAACCACAGAAAGCAUCAUUAGAAAGAAAGCCUAGCAAGUGAGAUAAAAUAACUGCAGCUAGAAAUGUUGGUAAUGGGAAGAAUACAAGCUUAAUAUCAAGUGGACCAAGAUUUGAAUCCCAAAGCUGACAUUUAUAAUUUGUUUCCUGGGCAAAGUUUUUACCCACGAAGUAGGAUGGUGACACCUCAGCCCUUCUGCGAGAAAAACAAGGGUGAUCCACAUCCCCCAUCCCUCAUCUUAAAGUCAGGUUCAUAACGGAUAAGGUAAGCUUUCUAAUGACUUCACAAAUAACCAACCUCAAUCAACUUUGGUAAUUGAUAAAAUCAUCACUUAACUUUCUGAUAUAAUGGCAAUAAUUAUCUGAGAAAAAAAAGUGGUGAAAGAUUAAAUUUGCAUUUCUCUCAGAAUCUUGAAGGAUAUUUGAAUAAUUCAAAAGCGGAAUCAGUAGUAUCAGCCGAAGAAACUCACUUAGCUAGAACGUUGGACCCAUGGAUCUAAGUCCCUGCCCUUCCACUAACCAGCUGAAUGGUUUUGUGUAAACCUCCUACACGCUUGGGCUUGGUCACCUCAUUUGUCAAAGUAAAGGCUGAAAUAGGAAGAUAAUGAACCGUGUCUUUUUGGUCUCUUUUCCAUCCAUUACUCUGAUUUUACAAAGAGGCCUGUAUUCCCCUGGUGAGGUUGAAGAUGAAUCAGGUUUGAAAGCCCCCUGGAAGUGGACAAAUGAUUAUCAGAAGACCUCUCAAAGUGUAACUAGUUCACUGAGCACCUACUACUUUCUUCACAGGUCUCUGAAAGGCCAGCAGGAUGCUACCUCCUUAUCCCUGUCAGUGCCACACCCACUAGCAAUGGGUAAUGUGAUCUCAUUAGAGUCCAUAGAGUCUGUGUCUUAGAAUCUAAUAUCUCAACAUUAAAAAUAUGUCAGAGAAAGGGAUUUGCUUUCACUUUUUCCCAGAGCAGUGCUUUUUAGAAAAUUGAUACCAGGCCCAAAAUUAAUUAUAUUAAAUCACAAUUGAUCAAAAAACUAAAUUUAUCUGACAUGGAUUACUUUUAGACAUGUCUAGUCUUUUGCAACGGUUAUAAGAGAUUUUUUAUUUUUGCUAUCAUUUUAUGUUAAAAAAACUAUUUUCAAAUGUAUGUCAUAUGAUUCCUGACUUCGAUUGGGGCUGCUCUGAAGCAGACCCUGAGACGAGGAUUUGGGUGAACAUGGUUGGUUUAUUAGGAAAUAUAUCCAGGAAAAACACAUAGAUGGGCGGGGACCUGAAACAGAGAUGGGAAAGGAAGUGAAGGAAAGGGAAGAAAUCCAAACAAGCUUGCAUUAUAUAGUUAGACUUCAUGGAAAACAUCUGUGGCUCAAUCCAGUAAAGAGGAUGUGGAGAUAAGGCCUGUCACUUCUUAGAUUUGUUCCCAUCAGGGAUGAGGGUGCUGAAGUAUUUACAACUGCACCAUCAGUCAUGAUGGGGAUAUGUACGUUUCUAGGCAUGUUUGCUUUUUCCUGUGUGUAGUCAGAGGGUUCUGGCAGAUGGAGGUAGGCCUCCAACAAAGAGAGCACGUGCUGCCUCAGAGAAUAAAAAUGAAAGACAUAAGCAAAGAGAUGUGAGAGUUACAGGCAGAAUACUGACAAGGUCCGCUGCAGGUCUGUUCUAUUUACAUUCCACGAGCAAUCAUGAAGCUGAUGAAAUAUUAUUUAAUGAAGUUAUUUUGUACAAAGAACAGGGCAGUAGAUCCUGUUCAUCUGUUUUACAGAUUAAUAUCUGUAUUGAUGAGGGCAUUGCAGGAAGCAGAUGGUCCACCACACUGGGUAACUUUAUAUUAUUUAAAAAUUUUUUUAAUUUUUAAUUUUUGUGGGUACAUAGUAGGUGUAUAUAUUUAUGGGGUACUUGAGAUGUUUUGAUACAGGCAUGUAAUGCAUAAUAAUCGCAUCAUAGAGAAUGGGGUAUUCAUCCCCUCAAGCAUUAAUCCUUUGUGUUACAAACAAUCCAGUUAUACUCUUUUAGUUACACACUGGGUAAUUUGAGGAGACUUUAAUCAAAGGGCUAUUUAGUAAGGUGAGGGCAGAGGGUUAGGAACCCAUGAGGGAUCAGUGCAGAACUGGUGGUGGGCUGAAUGUCCAUGCUUAGAUUGGAAGGGGUAAGGAGAAGAAGCAUAAAAAUGCUGUGUGAAGAGAAGCAGGGUCUUCCUCAGUUGGUGGGAAGCCUGCCAGGGGAGUGGACACUGUGUCUCACGUUCUGCCUUCCUUCCCUUUCCUGCCAGGCCUCUGAUCAGCCAAAUAACAAGCUGGAGGACUCAGGAGGCCCUUGCUUUGGUUCCUAUUGGAACAAUACAACAUAGAACAGGGCCAAGAAAAGGGCAAAGGAAAUACAAAAGGACGCCUGGAAGAUUUGCACAGGGCAAAGGAUGACUUGCUGAGUUAAUUUAAAGUGAUGUAAAUUGCUAAGACAACACUGCAAAGCAUUCAUAUCAUUUUUUUUUUCAAGGAAGAAAAUCUAAACAUUUUCCUCAGGAUCUUCAAUAAUAAAAAUCUAUUUAUCAAACAUGAACUUCUUUUUCUACCCUUUACCAGACUUCCCUACUUACUUGUCUAGAGCAGUUACUAAGAGAGAAAUAACCUGAUCCUUAGUAGUUCUUUCUUAUUACCUGGCAAUGAGGCCUUUCCCAGUGCCUCAAGAUUUGACCUUUGACUUCAUUUCCUAUUUAUCUCAUAAUGCCUGAGUUUUUAUGGCCUUCUCAACAUAAAACAUUUUCUUUGGUCACAUACAUUCCUUUCUUUUUUCUUAAGAUUAAA
rnacentral:lncRNA from 10 species